ACAUACAUGUACAUUUUACAGUUAUUUAUCUUGCCUCUACAAAACAGAUAACAAAAAUAACUAAGAAACACAUACAUGUUCAAUUUUCAUGUAACACUUUUAUCAGUUUUCUUUGGUUUAAGUGAAUCAUAAAAAUAAAUGUUGUAUAAACUUUAUUAAAACAAAGAUGAACAGGAUUUUAAUCAAUUUAAUGGAUUGUAACAAAGGCACAUUUUUCACACACAGCUUGCCCUGCUAAACCGGAUCCUUUUGAAAAGAUUUAAUUGUUGUGAUUUUGUAAGAUUUCCACAUGAAACAUUGGAUAUCAUGUUUUUAAUUGAUUGACAGCAACCCAACAAUAAUAAAUAUAAAAGUUAAAUGACUCAAGUUUAGAUAGCUAAUUUAAUUGACUAAAAUACACUGUUAUGAUUUAUAUAAAAUUAAGUAGAUGUGGUGCAAGACAACUAUCCACCAAUACUUUAGAAAGGCUUAAUAACAGAUAAUGCAAGAUACAUUAAGGUUUUCUUUUGUUGUGAGUAUACUGUUUAGAACAAAAUUUAAUCAUACUGGUUACCUGAGAUCAAUAGUGUUAACAGUUGUAAUUUAUUUGGUUUAUUAUGUAAAAAAUAUGACACAUACAAAUAUUUCUAUAAAUU
rnacentral:lncRNA from 1 species